rnacentral:rRNA from 1 species
UACGGGGGGGGCAAGCGUUGUUCGGAAUUACUGGGCGGAAAGGGCUCGUAGGUGGCCAACUAAGUCGGACGUGAAAUCCCUCAGCUUAACUGGGGAACUGCGUCCGAUACUGGAUGGCUUGAGUUUGGGAGAGGGAUGCGGAAUUCCAGGUGUAGCGGUGAAAUGCGUAGAUAUCUGGAGGAACACCGGUGGCGAAGGCGGCAUCCUGGACCAACACUGACACUGAUGAGCGAAAGCCAGGGGAGCAAACGGG